rnacentral:rRNA from 1 species
UAUUAUUUUAUAUGUAAAUUGUAAAUACUUGAGUAGUAUUAGUUAAGGUCUUGAAACUCAAAGAAUUUGGCGGUAUUUUAGUCCUUUCAGAGGAAUCUGUUCUGUAAUUGAUAGUACACGAUUUUUCUUUACUCUCUUUUAUAGUUUGUAUACCGCCGUAAUAAGAUUAUCUUAAUGAGAGAUAAAAAUUUCUUAAUUCAAAAUUAGGGAAUAUUUCAGGUCAAGGUGCAGCUUAUGGGAGAGAAGAAAUGGAUUACAAUAAUAUUAAUUAUUACGGAUAAUUUAUGUGACAUAUAGGUUUGAAGGUGGAUUUGAUUGUAAAUUUAUAUGAGAUGAUAAAUUGAUCAGGGCUCUAAAAUGUGUACACAUCGCCCGUCGCUCUCGUUAUUAUGUGAG